UGGAUACCAGUUAGCGCUAGUGUAGUCCCGAGUCGUUAUGGUCUCGUGGUGGAGGCCAUGGCUUCAUGAAGGUUCCACAUACUACACAGGAUGACAGGAUAACGAAAAUGUGGUUCCAAUGAACCACUGCAGCACAAAUUCAAAUCUUGUGAAGACUGAAGAGGUGGUAGCUUUUAGUCACUCCAGCACGCUGUCAAGUCAGUACUCCUUAUGAUAAUGUUGCGACAAGCCGUCUACUGUCCCCAAAAACAAAUGCUGCUAGUUAUUUUUC
rnacentral:lncRNA from 1 species